GGAAGCAUGGCCUAGUGGUACGGCACCAGACUGAGACUCUGGAAGCCAAUGCUCGCCUCCA
rnacentral:tRNA from 1 species